rnacentral:rRNA from 1 species
GCGGAGGAAAAGAAACCAACUGGGAUUGCCCUAGUAACGGCGAGUGAAGCGGCAACAGCUCAAAUUUGAAAUCUGGCUCCUUUGGGGUCCGAGUUGUAAUUUGCAGAGGGUGCUUUGGCGUUGGUGGCGGUCUAAGUUCCUUGGAACAGGACAUCACAGAGGGUGAGAAUCCCGUACGUGGUCGCCCGCCUUCGCCGUGUAAAGCCCCUUCGACGAGUCGAGUUGUUUGGGAAUGCAGCUCUAAAUGGGAGGUAAAUUUCUUCUAAAGCUAAAUACUGGCCAGAGACCGAUAGCGCACAAGUAGAGUGAUCGAAAGAUGAAAAGCACUUUGGAAAGAGAGUCAAACAGCACGUGAAAUUGUUGAAAGGGAAGCGCUUGCAGCCAGACUUGCCCGCAGUUGCUCACCUAGGCUUUUGCCUGGGGCACUCUUCUGCGGGCAGGCCAGCAUCAGUUUGGGCGGUUGGAUAAAGGCCUCUGUCACGUAUCUUCCUUCGGGAUGAACUUAUAGGGGAGGCGACAUGCAACCAGCCCGGACUGAGGACCGCGCUUCGGCUAGGAUGCUGGCGUAAUGGCUGUAAGCGGCCCGUCUUGAAACACGGACCAAGGAGUCUAACAUCUAUGCGAGUGUUUGGGUGUCAAGCCCGGGCGCGUAAUGAAAGUGAACGGAGGUGGGAACCCUCGGGUGCACCAUCGACCGAUCCUGAUGUCUUCGGAUGGAUUUGAGUAAGAGCAUAGCUGUUGGGACCCGAAAGAUGGUGAACUAUGCUUGAAUAGGGUGAAGCCAGAGGAAACUCUGGUGGAGGCUCGCAGCGGUUCUGACGUGCAAAUCGAUCGUCAAAUUUGGGCAUAGGGGCGAAAGACUAAUCGAACUAUCUAGUAGCUGGU